rnacentral:rRNA from 1 species
AUUGAACGCUGGCGGCAGGCCUAACACAUGCAAGUCGAACGGAGUGGCGAACGGGUGAGUAAUGUAUAGGAACGUGCCUGGUAGCGGGGGAUAACUACGGGAAAGAGUCGCUAAUACCGCAUACUAUUAGAGCGGCCGAUUUCGGAUUAGCUAGUUGGUGGGGUAAAGGCUCACCAAGGCGACGAUCCGUAGCUGGUUUGAGAGGACGACCAGCCACACUUGAACUUGUACACGGCCCAGACUCCUACGGGAGGCAGCAGUGGGGAAUUUUGGACAAUGGGGGAAACCCUGAUCCAGCCAUCCCGCGUGUGCGAUGAAGGCCUUCGGAUUGUAAAGCACUUUUGGCAGGAAGGCGGUACCUGCAGAAUAAGCACCGGCUAACUACGUGCCAGCAGCCGCGGUAAUAC